AGCGAACGCUGGCGGCAGGCCUAAUACAUGCAAGUCGAGCGGCCGUAGCAAUACGGCAGCGGCAGACGGGAGAGUAACACGUGGGAACGUACCCUUCGGUUCGGAACAACCCAGGGAAACUUGGGCUAAUACCGGAUACGUCCGUAAGGAGAAAGAUUUAUCGCCGAAGGAUCGGCCCGCGUCUGAUUAGCUUGUUGGUGAGGUAACGGCUCACCAAGGCGACGAUCAGUAGCUGGUCUGAGAGGAUGAUCAGCCUCACUGGGACUGAGACACGGCCCAGACUCCUACGGGAGGCAGCAGUAGGGAAUAUUGGACAAUGGGCGCAAGCCUGAUCCAGCCAUGCCGCGUGAGUGAUGAAGGCCUUAGGGUUGUAAAGCUCUUUCGGCGGGGAAGAUAAUGACGGUACCCGCAGAAGAAGCCCCGGCUAACUUCGUGCCAGCCGCCGCUGUAA
rnacentral:rRNA from 1 species